CGCGUCCACAGAGAAAACCAGGAAACAUCGCUUAAAGCUCUAAAGAUACCAUUUUAAACUGUAAAUUAACUUAAAACCUAAAAUUGCAGAAACUGUGCACUGUUACCAGCUGCUUCUCCUUUAAAUUUCCCGCUAUGUUGUUGUCGUUUUGGAGACGUUAUUUCCGCAUCGCAGGAUGAUUGGUCGUCUGCGUUAGAUUCUGGACCAAUCAGAAGGCAUGACUGUGACUAUCCCGUGACUGUAGACCAAUGAGUCAUUGCUGUAGACAGGCAGCAGGACGUCUGCGAGCAGCCUUCUCUCCUGCUCGCCUCUGCCCUCCACAUGAUCAGGAGACCCUGAACUGUGCAGGUCGGGGGAGACUCGUCCACACACUGGUGUUAAUGGUGUUCCAGUUUAACUCGGUUUUAUGUUAAUUGGUGAUAUUUAUUUGCGCAUUGCCAGCAGUGUUGCCAAUAGUAGUACCGAUACUUUUAACCUAUAAAAUCAGCUUAUUCAGGGGAAAGCAUGAUUUAUGAGAUUAAUCAUCAUCAAUUUUAAUGACCACUGUGAUGUUUACUUUCCACAAUUAUUAGUUAACACAACAAAAUACAACUUUCAGAUUUUUAUGAAUUUUGAAACUGUUUUCUGUUUGUUCUUUAAAUGUGGUAUAGGUUAUAAAUAAAACAAUCAACACAAAAAAGGUUAAGAUAUUAUUCAUACUGCACGUUUGAGUUCUUUUUUUUUAUUUCUGAGAACAAACAACAACAAAAAAAUGUAUUUAACACAAUUCAGUGAGCUACAUACGGAAUGUAGAGCGUAGAAACAAAGUAUAAUUUAGUAUUGAUCCCAUACCAAUACUAACAUUGGUACUGAUAUCGAUCCGCCCGCCUCUUGUUGCAUCCAUAGAUCCCUCCUUUUCAGUGAGUGGUCUCCGCUGCCUGCUGGUAAAACAUACAGUUUGGCAAGAUUAAAGACCUCACUGGGGAAAGGCUGAUAUCUCCAGUUGAUUCAAAUGCAUACACAUAUUUUACCACGGACAUACCACGGAUCAGCUCUGGGGAAACUUGAGUAUACCUACAUACAUCUUACUUAUCAGUCUAAGGAGAAACGUAUGAACACCGGGGAGCGUAUCAGUCAGGAUGGAAACAGGUCCAAAGUUCAUAAAGGGACCAGGUCUGUGUGAUUUUCUUACAGCCUGCUGGUAAGUAAAAGUGCUGUUUAUUUCAGCAUGAAACACACGUCCCCAUCAACAGUUAAAUGCAUCUCAGUGUUAAUAUCACCUACAGGCAACAUUACAAAAUAAACAGAGUGAAUGAAGUCAGACUCAUACCUGCAGGUCUGUUUUUCCAACAGUCAUGAGCUUCUGUCAUUACACGUGUGUUAAAAUCUAGGGAUCACACCUGAUGUACAAAAGUACAAAACCUUCAGAGUGAAACAACAAAGAGUUUUUAAAUUCUUUAUAAUCCAAACAACUUUAAAAUCUCGAAAUACUUUAUUAAUGAAUUCAAAGCAUUUUUAUUUCCAACCUUCUGAAGCCGCGCAGUGGGCCAGGAGGACCCUUUGAGGGGCCGGGAUUUGGCCCCUGGGCUGCAUGUUUGAUACCCCUGAUCUAGAAGGAUAAUUGGAGCUACAGAUCAGAGGUCAAAACAUGUCAUUUUGAUGUUGGAGUAAUCUGUCCCUUUAAUGUGUUCAAAAGCAAUUCAUCUGUUACCUCACGUUUUAGGACUGGCUGUUCCUGGAUAAUCCACUGAGUGUCACUAGUGCUCAUUCGGUGAUGGUAAUCUGCGAUCAGGCUCAGGUUUCUUUCUCAGCAGCCAACGAAGCUGACACAAAUGAUUAAGCAGAGACACUACAGGUGAACGGUACAUUCUUACUUUAUGAUGAAUUUUUUGUUACACCUUUUCCAGAAAGGCAGAUUUCAGCAUUUGCUUUUAAUUUUGUCGGCACGUUAGGAUCAAAAUUUUCUACAGAGGGGGUUUGGGAGUCGAGGAAAACACCGUCAGCAGAUGUGUUUUUAGGAGCAGAAUGUUCUGUUAUACAGGCCCUGGAUGAUAUAUGAAGCCCUGAUUAAAAACAAUCAGAAUAUAGAAAAUAAACUGGUUUCUGUCUCUGAGUACCCCCCCCUUUUAGAGAAGUGUAAUAACACAUCAAAAGUCUCAUAUUGCUUUGGCUUGCGUUACAGUCCACAUGUGUCUUUUUUAAACCGCUGCUUUUAAUAUAAAGCGAGAAAUAAAGCUUAAAGCACUGGGGCACAAUCUGAUGUCUGUUCUUAAAUCUGAUCAGAUGCCCAUGUUGAUCAUAUUAAUCAAUCUUUCCCUCUGACCCUCUGAAACCACUAUUUACAAGUAAACAAUGGUAACUGACACAUAUUAGAAACGACCCCCAGUUGAUUACUGAAACUAAGACAAAAAUGUCUAUAUUAAAGAUUUUUAGAAAUGGCAUGCUUGAAUACACAAAUAAGAAUAUUUAUUCCUUUAGAUGAGGGGCAGGUCAAGUUUUUUUCACACCAAGCAAAGGAAAACUCGUUGAACUGUUGCAUCUACAUAAAUACGGCCUAAUUUACCAUUAGAGUAAAACUGUUAUAGAUCAUUACAAAAAAGUGGAGUGCCUUAAGUUGACAUUGAGCAGUGCAGACUUAUAACAGUCCUUCGCCUCAAUAUCUGUUAACACAGUGCUGCUUUUUAUUGGUAUUUUUAUGGUUGUGUGCUUAGUUUUCCUCUUAGGAGGUCAGGGGCCAGCUCUAGAUGGUCCACGGGCCCGUUCUGGACCUCGGGCCAUAUUUUAUCCACAUGUGACCUAGUUUGCUUUGCUGCGAGUUGUUCAGCUGUUUGAGAUAUUUUCUUUCUAAGCGAACCACAUCGGCCAGCCGUAUCCAGAGAUCGUGCUUGUGACAGCGUGACAGGAUGCAAAUAUUACAAUGGAUCAGCUGAGCUGUCAUGUUAGCUGGCUCAUGCAGUCAAAGCUCCUGAUGAAACUGCUCAUAACAAGAUUUUGGAGUAUUCACUUCAUGACUCGUGCCCACAUAUUUCUCCUAUUCAGAAAUAGUUGAAUGAAUUUCUACUUUUCCUUCUUCGCUUUUCAGAUGCAUCUUUUUCUUUGUUUGUUUUGUUUUUUUUGGCACUCUCGGCACGGUAAAGCGAGAGCCAUCUGGUUCCAUUGUAUUGAAGAGAAGAAGGCAGACGUCUCAGCUUACAGCUGAUAUCUCCCAAACUGGGCAACUCGCACCAAAACAAUCUUGGAGGAUAAAAAUCAGCACAGGCCAGAAGAAAAAUCCAUACAUUCUGAAUUUUUGGAGGGGAGAGGUGACAUGCGUCUUUAAAAGAAAGCUUUUUUCCCCCCGAUCUGCUAAAUAUUAAACGCACAUUUCACAAACAAUGCAAAACUAGACAUCUGCUGACUUUAAGCACAUGGUUCGUAUUAAGGACGCUUGAUCAACUUGUACAGAUUAGACACAUCAUCAACAAGAACAACCACAAAACAACACACGCAGCACCAAGCUAGAGCUGAUUUCGCUGGGUCAUCAGGUUAAUACUUUAUUUUGUUUGAUUGCAGCAAAGAGAAAGAAAGGGAGACGGAAACGGGGUGGGGUUGGGGUGGAGGGGAGGAGGAGAAGUAGAAUGUCGGAGAGAGGAAACUACAGACUUUGGGAGAGCUGUGGCUACAAGCCUUUGUAUCAAAUCUAAAGACAAAGUCAUCAGGCAACAUUAAAACAUCUUUUAAAAAUAACAAUAACAUAUUCUGUGGGCUCUAUAUGGCACAGUAUUACCCUAGACAUGUACACGAUACCAAAACAGUUUAGCCACACUCCUACAUCUAUGAACAGCUUCGUAGCAAACAAAGCCAAGAACUCUAUCUCCAAAUCAUCAUUUCUCAAGGAAAAAAAAAUGCUAAUUCAAAUUUCUUAUGCCAUAACAAGGCACCUUUAACAGUUGAAAUCUGGCAGAUCCACAUCUUACUAUAAUUAUUUAAAUAUCAAAGCAGAGGCACAUUCAUUUAAACUAAAACAUACAGUAAAUAGUUGUUUUGUUUAGUUUGAUUUUUUAAACCACCAGAUUCCAGUCCAGUCACUACAAUACGUCGAUUUGCAUGCUUUUGGUCUGUAUGAUAACCAUGAGAGCAAACUAUGGCAUAAGAAACUAUGGUCCAAAAACACCCCCGCAAAACACAAACAUGUCCGUCUACAGGAAUGGCUUGAGAUAGUGUAUUGGAGACAGAAAGGCUUUUUUUUACAUUGAAACUAACCCACAGAAAAGAAAACAAAAAAACAAAACAGGUGGCCCAUAUGCUGCAAGGGAUAUGCUGCUUAGGCAGAUUUAUUUUGGUUUUCUUAUUCACGUCACGCAGCCGCUCGCUCUCGUACACAACACGUACCCCAAACAUACAAAAAAAACAAAUCAAAAGAACAUUUAAAAAUAAAAA